rnacentral:sRNA from 1 species
GCCCCAAAUGGGUCAAAACCACCUUUAAUGAGAAUCACUGGCAUAGAUUGUUUAAUUUUCAGUCACUGGGAUUGGGGAGGAACCCACAGAAAAUAUGGGUGCUUAAAACCUGAACAAAAUCAGCAAGAAGGGUGACUGCUGGGAAGGCAUCCACCAGUGUAUGCCACAGGAAUGGGCUAGAUGAUAUUCUGUGAGGUCCCUUCUAGCUAUAGAAUUCUUACUAUUUAUGUCAUAAGUACAAUAUAAGAUCAUUUGUGGAUAAAUAAUCACAGGGAUUCGAUAAACAAGUGGAUGUGUCAUAUAUUGCCAAACAUUACAACAUGAGCAAAAGCAAAGUUGACAACCAGUUCUACAGUGUGGAAGUGGGAGACUCAACCUUCACAGUUCUCAAGCGCUACCAGAAUCUAAAGCCUAUUGGCUCUGGGGCUCAGGGCAUAGUUUGUGCGGCGUAUGAUGCUGUCCUUGACAGAAAUGUGGCCAUUAAGAAGCUCAGCAGACCCUUUCAGAACCAAACACAUGCCAAGAGAGCGUACCGGGAGCUGGUCCUCAUGAAGUGUGUGAACCAUAAAAACAUUAUUAGUUUAUUAAAUGUCUUCACACCCCAGAAAACGCUGGAGGAGUUCCAAGAUGUUUACUUAGUAAUGGAACUGAUGGAUGCCAACUUAUGUCAAGUGAUUCAGAUGGAAUUAGACCAUGAGCGAAUGUCUUACCUGCUGUACCAAAUGUUGUGUGGCAUUAAGCACCUCCAUUCUGCUGGAAUUAUUCACAGGGAUUUAAAACCAAGUAACAUUGUAGUCAAGUCUGAUUGCACAUUGAAAAUCCUGGACUUUGGACUGGCCAGGACAGCAGGCACAAGCUUCAUGAUGACUCCAUAUGUGGUGACACGUUAUUACAGAGCCCCUGAGGUCAUCCUGGGGAUGGGCUACAAGGAGAACGUGGAUAUAUGGUCUGUGGGAUGCAUUAUGGGAGAAAUGGUUCGCCACAAAAUCCUCUUUCCAGGAAGGGACUAUAUUGACCAGUGGAAUAAGGUAAUUGAACAACUAGGAACACCAUGUCCAGAAUUCAUGAAGAAAUUGCAACCCACAGUAAGAAACUAUGUGGAGAAUCGGCCCAAGUAUGCGGGACUCACCUUCCCCAAACUCUUCCCAGAUUCCCUCUUCCCAGCGGACUCCGAGCACAAUAAACUCAAAGCCAGCCAAGCCAGGGACUUGUUGUCAAAGAUGCUAGUGAUUGACCCAGCAAAAAGAAUAUCAGUGGACGACGCCUUACAGCAUCCCUACAUCAACGUCUGGUAUGACCCAGCCGAAGUGGAGGCGCCUCCACCUCAGAUAUAUGACAAGCAGUUGGAUGAAAGAGAACACACAAUCGAAGAAUGGAAAGAACUUAUCUACAAGGAAGUAAUGAAUUCAGAAGAAAAGACUAAAAAUGGUGUAGUAAAAGGACAGCCUUCUCCUUCAGGUGCAGCAGUGAACAGCAGUGAGAGUCUCCCUCCAUCCUCGUCUGUCAAUGACAUCUCCUCCAUGUCCACCGACCAGACCCUGGCAUCUGACACUGACAGCAGCCUGGAAGCCUCGGCAGGACCCCUGGGUUGUUGCAGGUGACUAGCCGCCUGCCUGCGAAACCCAGCGUUCUUCAGGAGAUGAUGUGAUGGAACACACACACACGCAGACACACACACACACACACAAAUGCAGACAUACAACAUCAAGAAAACAGCAAGGGAGAGAAUCCAAGCCUAAAAUUAAAUAAAUCUUUCAGCCUGCUUCUUCCCCAGGGUUCUGUAUUGCAGCUAAGCUCAAAUGUAUAUUUAACUUCUAGUUGCUCUUGCUUUGGUCUUCUUCCAAUGAUGCUUACUACAGAAAGCAAAUCAGACACAAUUAGAGAAGCCUUUUCCAUAAAGUGUAAUUUUAAUGGCUGCAAAACCGGCAACCUGUAACUGCCCUUUUAAAUGGCAUGACAAGGUGUGCAGUGGCCCCAUCCAGCAUGUGUGUGUCUCUAUCUUGCAUCUACCUGCUCCUUGGCCUAGUCAGAUGGAUGUAGAUACAGAUCCGCAUGUGUCUGUAUUCAUACAGCACUACUUACUUAGAGAUGCUACUGUCAGUGUCCUCAGGGCUCUACCAAGACAUAAUGCACUGGGGUACCACAUGGUCCAUUUCAUGUGAUCUAUUACUCUGACAUAAACCCAUCUGUAAUAUAUUGCCAGUAUAUAAGCUGUUUAGUUUGUUAAUUGAUUAAACUGUAUGUCUUAUAAGAAAACAUGUAAAGGGGGAAUAUAUGGGGGGAGUGAGCUCUCUCAGACCCUUGAAGAUGUAGCUUCCAAAUUUGAAUGGAUUAAAUGGC